rnacentral:rRNA from 1 species
GCUCGAGUGGCGAACGGGUGAGUAACACGUGAGUAACCUGCCCUUGACUUUGGGAUAAUUUCAGGAAACUGGGGCUAAUACCGGAUAGGAGCUCCUGCUGCAUGGUGGGGGUUGGAAAGUUUCGGCGGUUGGGGAUGGACUCGCGGCUUAUCAGCUUGUUGGUGGGGUAGUGGCUUACCAAGGCUUUGACGGGUAGCCGGCCUGAGAGGGUGACCGGCCACAUUGGGACUGAGAUACGGCCCAG